UACAGAGGUCUCAAGCGUUGUUCGGAUUCAUUGGGCGUAAAGGGUGCGUAGGUGGCGCGGUAAGUCGGGUGUGAAAUUUCGGAGCUUAACUCCGAAACUGCAUUCGAUACUGCCGUGCUUGAGGACUAGAGAGGAGACUGGAAUUUACGGUGUAGCAGUGAAAUGCGUAGAGAUCGUAAGGAAGACCAGUGGCGAAGGCGGGUCUCUGGACAGUUCCUGACACUGAGGCACGAAGGCCAGGGGAGCAAACGGG
rnacentral:rRNA from 1 species